rnacentral:rRNA from 1 species
GACAGAGGGGGCAAGCGUUGCUCGGAAUCACUGGGCGUAAAGGGCGCGUAGGCGGGAUGGCAAGUCAGUCGUGAAAUCUCUCGGCUCAACCGAGAAACGUCGGCUGAUACUGCCGUUCUUGAGGGAUGCAGAGGAGACUGGAAUUCCCGGUGUAGCGGUGAAAUGUGUAGAGAUCGGGAGGAACACCGGUGGCGAAGGCGGGUCUCUGGGCAUUACCUGACGCUGAGGAGCGAAAGUGUGGGGAGCGAACAGG